rnacentral:rRNA from 1 species
AGCGAACGCUGGCGGCAGGCCUAACACAUGCAAGUCGAACGCCCCUUCGGGGGAGUGGCGGACGGGUGAGUAACGCGUGGGAAUGGGCCCAUUGGUACGGAACAACUGAGGGAAACUUCAGCUAAUACCGGAUGUGCCCUACGGGGGAAAGAUUUAUCGCCAUUGGAGUAGCCCGCGUUGGAUUCGGUGUCUGGUGGGGUAAUGGCCCACCAAGCCGACGAUCCAUAGCUGGUCUGAGAGGAUGAGCAUCCACACUGGGACUGGGACACGGCCCAGACUCCUACGGGAGGCAGCAGUGGGUAAUCUUGCGCAAUGGGCGAAAGCCUGACGCAGCCCUGCCGGGUGAAUGAUGAUGGUCUUAGGAUUGUAAAAUUCUUUCAACGGGGAAGAUAAUGACGGUACCCGGAGAAGAAGCCCCGGCUAACUUCGUG